rnacentral:lncRNA from 1 species
CGAAUUCACAUUAUAAGGCGAGCUUUGGAAAUAACAUGCUAUGCGCUGUAAGACACAACCAUUUACAUCUUCAUUGGACUUUUGCAGCCUGCGUUUCGCGGCCACCUUGUCAGGGAUCCGCGUUCUGACCUCUUAGGAUAAGACCACAUGUACCCCAGUUAUAUAGCCAAUUCACUGUAUGAUUGCAAUUCUGGACGCUUGCUUUUGCAGUGGCAGUUGCGCCAGCUUGGGACAGCCUGAUGUUAUGGUGCAGGCUCCUACCGAAAUUCGCCUUGUUUAGAAAUUCUCUAUUAUUAAUUUAAAUUUCAAGGGCGAUGCAAGGUAAGUCACAUGGCGAGUUACUUCUAUUCCUGCUUGGCACCUACCUUAAGCUACCUUUGACCUGGGCGACCUUGAUGCAUCCGCCUCGACCUUGAUGCAUCACACCCGUAGCCGCCACGUUAAAGUGUCCUCGGGUACCAACGCCCGGCGAGGGGCCGGCGCUACACCCCGCAGUAUGCCACCAGACAGCUGAGGGGAGGAGUAUGGAGCCACGUCUAAACUCCUUUGUGCGCGUGCAGACCAAUAUGUGCACAUUUCCUGGGUAUGCGGAGGUUAUCAAGUGGUCUUGCAACUGAAAAAUGGUGGAGGCCGUAAUGUGAGUCCGGUUGUGUACCUUUUUCUAGUGUCUAUUGUCACGGUAGACCUUCCGUAUAUCAGUAUUUUCCUACCAAGUCGCAUGGCGCCAACCGCGACGCGCACUUACUAAAAUAAUAAUAAUAAUAAUGAAUAAUAAUUACAAUAAUAAUAUAAUCAGGAAGCUAACUUGAAUCAUUUCCUAGGCCACAUGGAACCCGCAAGCAUUUAUAAUAAAUUCGUAUGAACACGGUUCUUCCGCCAAGCAGCAUCACUCGACCAAUCGCGACUCCCGACGCAACGGCAGAGUUCUCAGGGGAUCUGUUUUCACGAAUCGUAUCUUAUCGCGCAGCUCCCUUUCGGCCCAGAUCGCUGGUUCAUCUCUUGGUGGUCACGCAAAGGGCUCACAAAGGUCGCCCGCCACCACCGACCAUCUACGGCAAAGCCUCAAGCUGCAGCAGAUCUGCAGUCCCUGACGGGAUACGGCUGACCCAAUUUCCUUGUGAGACAUGGCUUUCAAAGAUGGGCGCAGGCGCCGCGAAGGAUGGCCAUCAAGCGAGUGCUACUGAAUGUUGUCCAUUCGUAACGUAUCUGCAACGAGCCCUUUAAAACAAGACUCCUUCUUCCCCCAGCAUAUUGCCUAAACGUGCUGCAUUCGUGAGAUUGAAAUAUGUGCGCACGCACAGUAAUGUCAUACAUUAAAAGACAUUUAGGUAAAGAGAUGGAAAUUUAAAGUGUCUUCGGUGGCGCCCACCCUUUCAGCGAUCAGAGGUAAGGCAAGGCGCAAACAAGAGGACAACGAGGCUGGGAUAUAGGCAACUCGAACACUGAACUGCAGGACUUGUUUACCGUGAUGCAGGUCCCGUUCGGCUGUGCAGGACUGUGCGUCACUGGCCUUGGUUAUCGGCAUCUACGCCACCACAGCUCGCUGCAUACCCACAAGCAGAUUGCGUGCAUACCCCACAAGCUACUGAAGUGGCCUGACCCUCCUGCGAACAGCACGCCAACGUAAACCUGUCGCUCCGUAGAGCUGUGAAUAGAGGUAGUGGGUGUGAAGGGCGGGUUACACGGUCAUGGUUGCGAGCUCCUUUACGAGCAAACCACGCCCUGCCCAAAACCCAAUUUACGCUCAAAGGGCUACCCAUAGAUGCGCUUCAAAAGCACCAUCUUAAAUAUUGGCUGUAAGAGGUAAUGGGAACUGUGUAUUCCUUCUCACGGUAGGUGAAAGGGCUCAGCAUUCGGUGGGACCAACGAAGUUGUGGAUGUCGGUAAGAUCUCCGGUUAACAGCAACUGUCCUUGCUAAGUUGGCGGGCGGGCGGGAAAGGCAGGCGAGCAAUGUCCUAUGACAUUGCGCCCUUGCUUCGUACAAUCGUGCGGUUCAAAAGCUUGCUGCUGCUGAAAUAUUCAGUACUUAGAAACGGUAUACAAUCAGCUGAACGGCGGGCUUUAAAAUCCGGGGAAACGCAUCUACGGAUUGCAGAGCGAAGCAAAAUGCCAGGGCUAUCAUAGUCUAGUCAUGCAUUGCUCGCGCUGCCAACUACGUGCGCUAUUCUGCUGCAUAAAUUUUGGUUGCACUGGAGUGCGUGUGCUUAAAGUGUUCUGGCCGCUGCUCUUCAUUCGUAAGCCUUCGACUUCCGAGCAUGAAGAGCUCAGACAGGCAACUAAAAUCAAUAGAAAACCCUUAUUUCGUUCCUUUGUCACAGAUUGUAUCGCGCCGAGAUUUGGCAAUUCCGUGCAUUAUAUGCGCGCUCGAAUUGCUUACCUGAGCCUUCUUCUGGCGGUUCCGAGCCACCCGGUUGAGCCACACACGCAAUGGCAAAUGGACCGACUAACGCAGUUGCUUAGGUUUGACAACGAUUGCCGCGCGCUGAUUAUACGGUGUAUGCUUACGAAGGCUAGUUUAUCCGACUUAGUCACGGUAUUGCCUGUGAAUGUGGGCACACAUCCUAUAGGUUGUUGGGUUGCGGUAUUAUGCAUAAUUGCAAAAAUCAACGCCGCCUGUUUGGCACCUGGGGAGCCGGAGCUUGGAACUGGCGAAUUUACACGAACUAUACGCUGUUUAAUGGGAAG